UACGAAGGGGGCUAGCGUUGCUCGGAAUUACUGGGCGUAAAGCGCACGUAGGCGGUUUCUUAAGUCGGGGGUGAAAUCCUGGAGCUCAACUCCAGAACUGCCUUCGAUACUGGGAAACUUGAGUCCGGGGAGAGGUGAGUGGAACUGCGAGUGUAGAGGUGAAAUUCGUAGAUAUUCGCAAGAACACCAGUGGCGAAGGCGGCUCACUGGCCCGGUACUGACGCUGAGGUGCGAAAGCGUGGGGAGCAAACAGG
rnacentral:rRNA from 1 species